AGACGGAAGAUGUGAUGUGGUCCCAGUUCAGAGCUUGGGCUUUGAGAUCCAUUGGACACCUCUACUCUCUCUACCUCUAUCUUGCCAAUAAGGCCAGACUAGAAUGCUAGAUGAUGAGAAACAGUGUACCAGCCACAUCCAUCACCCCAGCCAACAGACAACCAGCUGUUAAACAUCAGACAUGGGAACAAGGCCAUCCUAGACAAGCAUGACCCUGGCUAACCUGUAAGCUGACAACAAGACUCCUGAGUAAACCCAGCCAAGAUCGGGUGAACUGGCCCAAAUCAGCAGAACUGCCCAGCUGACCCUGACUAUUAGAAGAUGUCUUGUGGUCAGUCUGGAGAACAACAGCAAGGAUUCCUAAAUCCUCACUGAGAAGCAGCUCAGGAGCAUGGCACGAAGACAGUGCUGGACCGUGCAGCCACAGCCUUGGGAAGCAGAGAAAGAUGGAGGUAGGCUGGGAGUUGAAUAUCCCGGCUGGGCUCAAGGCUAAGCUCAACUCAACAGCCCAAGAUGAAGCUUAACUCUAGAUCCUCUCCCUGUGUCUACGUGGACCAGGUGUCUAGCCAGGGCAUGAUCAUCUCAUGGCAACAACAUGAGGGACAAGAGAACAAACCCCAACCAUUCUAGAUACACAACCAGAAUCCCAGCUGAAUGGAUUCACUCAGUCUUGAGAUCCAGACUGGUCCAGGAUAUGCAAUCAACAUCUUUCUGAACUCUUAGAGGAUUGGAGGACAUUUACAGCAGGCCAACAAAGAGGAUACUUACAUUAUGCCUGAGGGGUUGGAGAAGGCUUGACACCGGAAGGGACAUGGGGUCCCAGUCAUGGAAAAUGAGAAGAAGCCACCAAAUAGAGAAAAGGAAAAAAAGAACUCCACAUACAAAGUAGCAGGAAAAUGGCAUUAGCCUCAUAUGGAAACACUUUGACAGGCCCCUGAAAAUAAUUCCUUAACCACAAACAUGUCUUCUACUUGUCUGAUCUCAAAUUGUUCCAACACAGGAUGCAGUUCGCAGAGAAUGUUCCUUAAAGUGCCCCUUGGGAUGAGCUCCAAAGACCAUGUCAUUUUAUCCAUCUCCAAAGAGUGCAAUCCAGCUAUCUACAGUAUCCGAUUGCUGUUAUGAAAUUAAA